AGCCUUCUGAAUCCAUGCUGAGGUUUCGUCAGAUACCAACCAAUUUGUGCUGACCACACUCCAAGAUAAAUGAAGUU
rnacentral:pre_miRNA from 1 species